rnacentral:rRNA from 1 species
UACGGAGGGUGCAAACGUUGCUCGGAAUCAUUGGGCGUAAAGCGCACGUAGGCGGCUCGUUAAGUCGGAUGUGAAAGCCCUGGGCUCAACCCAGGAAGUGCAUUCGAAACUGGCGAGCUUGAAUAUGGAAGAGGGUCGCGGAAGUUCCCGGAUGUAGAGGUGAAAUUCGUAGAUAUCAGGAGGAACACCAAUGGCGAAGGCAGCUCGCUGGGACGGUACUGACGCUGAGGCGGC